UAAAACAAGAAAUCCAGUUGCAUAACAACAAAGGGAUCUACUAUAAUCAUGAAAAUAUAACUGUGGAUAGUUCAGGUUUAAGGAGAACUCCUGCUAGUCUACAAUGACUUGAAACAAUUCUCAACCACAAGGAGAUAGAAACCAUCAACUAUCUAUACCUAAAUGCUUAUGACAAGACCCAAACUAAACUUAAAGGCCUCAUCAGAUAAGGCGAAAAGGAAAAAAAAAAUGUCUGUAUAUAAGGUAAACAGCAACAUGCAAGAUCUAUCUCUGUAACGAACAUCCACUGGACUGCUUGAGUGAAUCAUCAGCUAGCAAGCUCGGAUAAUCUCAAUCUGUAAAUCCACACUGAGCAGUUCUUUUAAUCAUGAAAAUCACAUCCGAGCAGUCCCACUUCCGAGAGUGAGCUCCAGAUCAUCUAAACCAACCUCAUGAAUCUUUUCACCUUCCCAUGCUGCCUUAACUGAUACAUUCUCAAAGUCAAAUUCAAUGCUCUUACCCUUGUCGAUGAUCAUAUCAUUAGAAGGAAUUCUCUGAGCUACAGGCUUAAUAAGAUUAAAAGUCGGAGAAGUAGGGAUCCCAUUGGCUGCGUACUUUUGAAAGCUCAUCCACUGGCCAGAAUCAAUGGUGGAUGAAUCAGAUUCGUCACACUCUGGUAUUGUAGCAGGAGUGAAUCGCUGACCUCGAGUUGGGCUAGUUGGGGCUGAAGCAGCAAAGAAAGG
rnacentral:misc_RNA from 1 species